ACUUGGGGCCCGUUUCCACCUAGGACUACAGGCUCAAGAUGGCCUGGUAGAUGCAGCCGGCACGCACCUCUCCUCUGACGGGAACCGAAGGAGCCGGUAGGUUUUCACACUUGCAGCAGAUCCGCUAAGAGAACGCGGGAUUCAGCCGAGAAGCCACGGGGAGCCCGAGGAGCGGAGCAGAGGCACCCAGGCAGCCUGCGCGGAGAAAUUGGAUCGGCGGGGACGGCCUGCAGCUCCCGCGCGCGGGGAAAGGGAAGAAGUCCUCCCCUACAAAGCAAAUUCACAAACUUGGAAGAAGCAAUUUACACAGGAUGUGCAGAUCUCAAUGGAAGGACACGGGAAACGUGAAAAAGCAAGGAAGUGGGACGCCUCCAAAGGAACCCAGUAAUUCUCCAGCAACAGAUCCCCAUCCAAAAGAAAUUCAAGAAAUGUCAUAUAGAGAAUUGUGGAAACUGAUUUUAACCAAGAUUAGAGGGAUUCAAGAGACUUCUGAAAAAGAAAGUAAGGAAAUGUCAACAGCAAUUCUGGAUAUGGUUGAGGUAUUUACCAACCAGAUACAGAGUUUUCCAGAGCACAUGGCAAAUGUGGAACUGAAGAAAUCACUGGAUGAAAUACAAAGUAUACUCGAAAGCUUCAAUGAUAGACUAGAUCAAGCAGAAAAAAAACUCUCAAAACUUAAAAUCUGAAGGCUUUUACUCAAUUCAAAUAUUUAAUGGGUUGUACUCUGGCCAUUCAGGUGAACAAAAUCUGCUGGG
rnacentral:lncRNA from 1 species